rnacentral:rRNA from 1 species
CUGGCUCAGGAUGAACGCUGGCGGCGUGCCUAACACAUGCAAGUCGAACGGGAAUCUUCGGAUUCUAGUGGCGGACGGGUGAGUAACGCGUAAGAAUCUAACUUCAGGACGGGGACAACAGUUGGAAACGACUGCUAAUACCCGAUGUGCCGCAAGGUGAAACCUAAUUGGCCUGGAGAAGAGCUUGCGUCUGAUUAGCUAGUUGGUGGGGUAAGAGCCUACCAAGGCGACGAUCAGUAGCUGGUCUGAGAGGAUGAGCAGCCACACUGGGACUGAGACACGGCCCAGACUCCUACGGGAGGCAGCAGUGGGGAAUUUUCCGCAAUGGGCGAAAGCCUGACGGAGCAACGCCGCGUGAGGGAGGAAGGUCUUUGGAUUGUAAACCUCUUUUCUCAAGGAAGAAGUUCUGACGGUACUUGAGGAAUCAGCCUCGGCUAACUCCGUGCCAGCAGCCGCGGUAAUACGGGGGAGGCAAGCGUUAUCCGGAAUUAUUGGGCGUAAAGCGUCCGCAGGUGGUCAGCCAAGUCUGCCGUCAAAUCAGGUUGCUUAACGACCUAAAGGCGGUGGAAACUGGCAGACUAGAGAGCAGUAGGGGUAGCAGGAAUUCCCAGUGUAGCGGUGAAAUGCGUAGAGAUUGGGAAGAACAUCGGUGGCGAAAGCGUGCUAC